rnacentral:rRNA from 1 species
GCUUCAUUCAAAUAUCUGCCCUAUCAACUUUCGAUGGUAGGAUAGUGGCCUACCAUGGUUUUAACGGGUAACGGGGAAUAAGGGUUCGAUUCCGGAGAGGGAGCCUGAGAAACGGCUACCACAUCCAAGGAAGGCAGCAGGCGCGCAACUUACCCAAUCCCGACCGGGGAGGUAGUGACAAUAAAUAACAAUAUAGGGCUCUUUUGGGUCUUAUAAUUGGAAUGAGUACAAUUUAAACCCCUUAACGAGGAACAAUUGGAGGGCAAGUCUGGUGCCAGCAGCCGCGGUAAUUCCAGCUCCAAUAGCGUAUAUUAAAGUUGUUGCAGUUAAAAAGCUCGUAGUUG